ACGUCAUUUUAACGAAAACCACUGACACACUGAUCAGUUCGGAGGAAAUCCUAAAUAUUGAAAGUCUUGAAAGUUUAACUCUUCAAGGUAAAAUAACUACUUUCUGUGACUUCAACUAGGAGAGGAAAUGUCUUUCGGUGAAUACUCAACAAACUCCACAUCAGCAUCUCAAGAUGGUACUUCAGAAUACAAUCGGCUUUGUGGAUGUGUCAGUAAUAAUAUUCAAGCAAUUAACAAAAAUGUUUCUACAAUACAAAGACUUGUGGAGAAGCUUGGAACUGCAGAGGACAAAUCACAGUUACAGGGCAAACUGUAAGUUUGUUUAAUUAGAGCUCUGUGAUCA